ensembl:lncRNA
CUUUGGACAGGCAGGUUCUGCCCAUGUUACUAUGAUGUGGGCUUUGGACAGGCAGGUUCUGCCCAUGUUACUUUGAUGUGGGCUUUGGACAGGCAGGUUCUGCCCAUGUUACUUUGAUGUGGGCUUUGGACAGGCAGGUUCUGCCCAUGUUACUUUGAUGUGGGCUUUGGACAGGCAGGUUCUGCCCAUGUUACUAUGAUGUGGGCUUGGGACAGGCAGGUUCUGCCCAUGUUACUUUGAUGUGGGCUUGGGACAGGCAGGUUCUGCCCAUGUUACUUUGAUGUGGGCUUGGGACAGGCAGGUUCUGCCCAUGUUACUAUGAUGUGGGCUUGGGACAGGCACGACUGAUUCAUUUGUGUCACAGUCACACCAGGCAGACCACCCCUCUGUGGUGACUAUACAGUCACACCAGGCAGA